AUCCAGAUGACGAGACUCAAAUGGGACGAAACGUGUGUCCUGGAU
rfam:Schistosoma haematobium scaffold971_9, whole genome shotgun sequence.